CCGUGCUAGACGGGGAGGUAGCGGUGCCCUGUAACCUGCAAUCCGCUAUAGCAGGGUUGAAUUCCUUACCUAGGUGUAAGCAUGUAGGGACUGACCUGGGUAAGUGGUGUUGAAGAUUGGGUCCUGCGCAACGGAAAUUCAUGAACCCCGCCAGGUCCGGAAGGAAGCAACGGUAAGUGAACACUUCCGUGUGCCGUGGGUAAGCCUGAUUGGAGCUUACUGCCCAGGUAACGCUUGUAGGCUUACAUCGAAGUAAGGUGCACGG
rfam:Thermobrachium celere DSM 8682 genomic scaffold, scaffold54